GUUGACAUAUAUAUAUAUAUAUAUAUAUUGAGAAAAAAGAAAUAUAGUGCUCUUUUCAUUAAUCUUAAUUUAUUGUUGACUUGUGGAGCGAGCUGACGUUCAGAUGAAUAUUUAUCAACCAUUUUAAGUAUAUUAAUUCUUGCAAUAAUACAGGAAGAAAAGGUAGCAAUUUCUCAUGACCAUAAUUCCAUAAUUCACUUGGAAAUAUUAAGAACUUUCUUUCUCUGGAUUCCAGGCCGUCAUAGUGUUACUAUUAUUAUUGCUGAAGCUGUAAAAGGAAAUUUUUUUGCCUCUCUUUUAAUUUUCAUAUAUACCAUAUCAUUGUCCAUUAAAUAGCAAUCCUUUUCUAUUUAUAAUCAAAAUAAAACCCACCGAAGAACUAGUCUUGUAUUUUCAAAUCGCCAAACAUGAAACAAACUUCUGCUUCUUUCAAAACUUGUCUAUGUUAUUCCUAUAUUAACAAUUUGUUAAAAUACUCCGGAUCCUAACAAUUGGAUCCAAGUUGCAAGAACCACGAUCGCCACCUCUUCCGCACCACUUUCGCUACUCAAAGAGAAUUUCAUCUGCCGCUAAACCUGUUGUUUACUUCAUCUGUCUCCUCGUGGCUUACUCGCUCGGUUAUCUCUCUGGCUCCACGCGCAAUAAUUAUGCUAAUAACAAACCACCUGCGCAUGUUAACGCUGUCGUCAACUAUGUAAACACAGCAAUUAGCAGCGGAACAGAAGGCGACCACAACAAUUUCGGGGCGGUGUGUGGUGAGGCGGUUCCGUCACAAAACAUCCGCCGCACAAUUCUAGAGCGUGUCUUCAAGGGGACAUCGCCGUGGCAGAAUUUCCCGCCGCCACACGUGGACAAUCUCCUCAGAAAAAAGUGGGUCAAAGGUUGGGGGUCAAAAGGCGCGGUCUUUGAGAACCUCAUCCGGAGAGUCAGACCCAAGACCAUAAUAGAAGUAGGCACGUUUUUGGGUGCAUCGGCGCUUCAUAUG
rnacentral:lncRNA from 1 species